CCUACGGGUGGCUGCAGUGGGGAAUAUUGCACAAUGGGGGAAACCCUGAUGCAGCGACGCCGCGUGAGUGAAGAAGUAUUUCGGUAUGUAAAGCUCUAUCAGUAGGGAAGAAGAAAGACGGUACCUGACUAAGAAGCCCCGGCUAACUACGUGCCAGCAGCCGCGGUAAUACGUAGGGGGCAAGCGUUAUCCGGAUUUACUGGGUGUAAAGGGAGCGUAGACGGCUGUGCAAGUCUGAAGUGAAAGCCCAGGGCUCAACCCUGGGACUGCGUUGGAAACUGUGGAGCUAGAGUGCUGGAGAGGUAAGUGGAAUUCCUAGUGUAGCGGUGAAAUGCAUAGAUAUCACGCAGAACGCCGAUUGCGAAGGCAGCAUACCGGCGCUCAACUGACGCUGAGGCACGAAAGCGUGGGGAUCGAACAGGAUUAGAUACCCCAGUAGUC
rnacentral:rRNA from 1 species